UCCUCGAUGGUCUAGUGGUCAUGAUUUCCGCUUGUCAUUCCAAGAAACUUGCCAAGCGCGGGAGACCAGGGUUCGAUUCCCUGUCGGGGAG
rfam:Ajellomyces capsulatus H88 supercont1.4 genomic scaffold, whole genome shotgun sequence.